GGCGAUCGAAAAGAUUAAGCCAUGCAUGUAUAAGUUUAAUCGUUUAUCGAGAAACCGCGAACGGCUCAUUACAAUGGCCAUUAUUUACUUGAUCUUGAUUGUCUAAAUGGAUAGCUGUGGAAAAGCUAGAGCUAAUACAUGCACUAAAGCUUUGUCCUUACGAAAAAGCGCAUUUAUUAGAACAAAACCACGCGGCUUCGGCUGCUUCUUGUUGACUCAGAAUAACUUAGCUGACCGCAUGACCUUGUGCCGGCGGCGUGUCUUUCAAGCGUCCACUUUAUCAACUUGACGGGAGCAUAAUCGACUCCCGUGGUGGUGACGGAUAACGGAGGAUCAGGGUUCGACUCCGGAGAAGGGGCCUGAGAAAUGGCCACUACGUCUAAGGAUGGCAGCAGGCGCGCAAAUUACCCACUCUCGGCUCGAGGAGGUAGUGACGAGAAAUAGCGAGACUGUUCUCUUUGAGGCCGGUCAUCGGAAUGGGUACAAUUUAAACCCUUUAACGAGUAUCAAGCAGAGGGCAAGUCUGGUGCCAGCAGCCGCGGUAAUUCCAGCUCUGCAAAUACAUAGAAUUAUUGCUGCGGUUAGAAAGCUCAUAGUUGGAUUCGUAUCGAUACCUUGGAACCCUUCGGGUGUCUCUAGGUGUUAUCGAUUUAUCGUAAUGUUCGGUUUUGAGUCCUUAACAGGAUUCUUAACAGGCAUUGCAAGUUUACUUUGAACAAAUCAGAGUGCUUCAAACAGGCGUUUUCGCUUGAAUGAUCGUGCAUGGAAUAAUAGAAAAUGAUUUCGGUUCAGUUUUAUUGGUUUUACGGACUGAGAUAAUGGUUAACAGAGACAAACGGGGGCAUUUGUAUGGUCCCGUGAGAGGUGAAAUUCUUGGACCGUGGCCAGACAAACUACAGCGAAAGCAUUUGCCAAGAAUGUUUUUAUUAAUCAAGAACGAAAGUCAGAGGUUCGAAGGCGAUCAGAUACCGCCCUAGUUCUGACCGUAAACGAUGCCAACUAGCGAUCCGCUGAUGGAAAUUAUAUUGCCUUGGUGGGGAGCUUCCCGGAAACGAAAGUCUUCCGGUUCCGGGGGAAGUAUGGUUGCAAAGCUGAAACUUAAAGGAAUUGACGGAAGGGCACCACCAGGAGUGGAGCCUGCGGCUUAAUUUGACUCAACACGGGGAAACUCACCCGGCCCGGACACUGUGAGGAUUGACAGAUUGAUAGCUUUUUCAUGAUUCAGUGGAUGGUGGUGCAUGGCCGUUCUUAGUUCGUGGAGUGAUUUGUCUGGUUUAUUCCGAUAACGAGCGAGACUCUAACCUACUAAAUAGUUGGUACAUACUCUUUGUGUAUACAGCUUCUUAGAGGGAUUUGCGGCGUUCAGCCGAAAGAAAUUGAGCAAUAACAGGUCUGUGAUGCCCUUAGAUGUCCGGGGCUGCACGCGCGCUACACUGGCAAAAUCAACGUGCUUGUCCUACCCCGAAAGGGGCGGGUAAACCAUUGAAAAUUUGCCGUGAUUGGGAUCGGAAAUUGCAAUUAUUUUCCGUGAACGAGGAAUUCCAAGUAAGUGCGAGUCAUCAGCUCGCGUUGAUUACGUCCCUGCCCUUUGUACACACCGCCCGUCGCUGCCCGGGACUGAGCCAUUUCGAGAAAUUUGGGGACCGUUGAUUUAAUUUUUCUAAAUUACUUUGAUGGAAAUCAAUUUAAUCGCAGUGGCUUGAACC
rnacentral:rRNA from 1 species